AGAUUUGGAAUCAUAUACACCAAGCUUGUGAUGAGUUGCUUCCCAGAAAUUUGGAUUGUCUUGAUGAUGUUGCAUAGCUCUGUGAUUGAGUUUGAUAGUGGAUAUGAUUGGGCUGGUUUUGGGUUUAUGGAGAAUGGUGCUGUCUUUUGAAAAUUUGAAAUCAUAUUCAAGCAGAUGUUAGUGUUUUCGACUCCAAGCUAUCUGCACUUGUGGUUAGACAUUGGCCGUUUAGUUAAGUUGUACCUUGAUUUUCCACUUGGACUAGCUCCACGAAAGCGGUGGUUGAAGGAAUCUUGUAUUCCUGACGUCCUGUAGGACAUGAGGUUAUUAGAGCAAUAUCGGCUAGGAGAGCCUGUUGACAUGCUGAACUCUAUAUUGGAAGCUGAGCAGCCAUGUAGAGAAGGAAGCUAUGGUAGUGCUUUGAAAGUAGGAUAG
rnacentral:lncRNA from 1 species